ensembl:lncRNA
UGAGGAAACUGAGGCCAAUUAUCACCCAGCUGGUGAGUAGUGAAAUCAGAUUCAAGCCCAGCUGUGGCUGAUUUCAAAACCUCUCCACGAAGUCUGGGUGGCAUGUCACCCUGAGACCUUCUGAGUGCCCUGCAUUGCUGCUGCCUUCCCAGUCAUCUAGCCAGGCCACUGGUGGUUUCCCCAGAUGGAAGGAAAAAGAGAGAGAGGCACGACUAGCCUACUCUACGCCAGGUAUCGGGCCUCAUGAGCCUGUUAACAUUACAGGCAGAGAAAGCUACAAUUUAGUAAAGCAAUCAGUCGCAGAGACCAUCCUUCUCAGAAGCAUGUGUGAAUACCCUUGUUCCCCCAAGUUCUGUGAGUUUGGGCUGUUUCCCUUCAAGAGGAGAACAGGAGACAAGAGACAGCUCUUCCUGUGCGCCUCGGCCCAGCUGCCACCCGCCUUGUUUAAUCUGACUGCUGUCAGGACCACUUGGAUAUGCACGCACAGAAGAGCCUCCAGCUGGUCAUGAGGUCGGCUUGAAUCCUGGUUUGGUGGGCACUACAAGGGGAUUAACCACUGUGUUGUGUCUCCCUGGGGUAGAUGCAGCCAGUGGGGCCAAGAGCCGGAGUUGAUCUCAGACAAGAAGCCAGUGGGGACUCACUCAGCCCAGAGUAUCUCUGCCCCAUCCAGCCUCUUAGGUGGCAGGAUGACUUGAUGAGCGAUGUGGGUCCACACCCAAGAUCCAAACUGCGGGUCGCUGAGGCGGAGUGUGCUGAACUCAACCACUGUGUCACUGGGCCGGCCCCCUAGGUCCUCAGAAUCUUUGAAGUCCUCUCCGUUCAGUUCGUUGAUGGAGAAAGAGCUCCAAGAUCACAUGUGUAACUAUUUUAUUUUUAAUGAGCCACACCUGGAAAUGAUACAUACCGCCGCCACUCAUAUUCCCUGGGGGCUUCCAUGGGCCCUACCGCAAGAGACCAGAAAAUGUAGUCUGACUAUGACUCUAGGAAGAGGAGGAGACUGGAUACUGGUGAGCCCAAGCAGCCUCUGCCACGUAACUCAUCGUCUAUGAGCCUCAGUUCCUCCCCUGGAAAUAGGACUGAUAAGAACAAGGGUGCUAUGAUGAUUAAGAUAUUGCAUGUAUCAUUGACACACGGGACUCAAUAAAUGUUAGUUUUUAUUAUUUUUAAAUCUUUGCUCCAAGCACAGGUUUUCUAAGUGGAAACUGAGGCAUGACCACCCAUUAUGUCAUGGGGGAGAGAUUUUUAUGCAGGGGUUGGGGAGGAUGGAGGCAGCCCUCCCUUCUCCCAGGCCCAGGGAAUGUGAAAAGUUCUACCUGUAUGAGACCACAUCUCAUAACCUCAAGGGCUUUUCAGAAAGGGUGUCAUGUAGAGGGCUGGAGGGUCUCAGCAACGUGAAGAUUGGCUAGGAGAGCAGGCAACUCAUUCAGUCAUUUGUCACCAAGCACAAUCUUGUCCCUGGCACUGUCAGAAGCUGGGAAUACAGAGAUAAAUAAAACGUGGUCAAAAAUCUCACAGUCUAAAGUGUCGGGACAAACUCACAAGCCAAUUAAUGGGACACAGUGGGCUCAAAGCUGGCACAGAAGUGAUGCACAAAAAUGAAGCCCAGAGGAGAGGACCACGAGUUCUCCCCAUGGGCAUUUGAGCUGGGUGCUCACAGGUAAUAGAUGCCCAAUAGAAAAUGCGGGGAGGGAGUUCAGGACCAAGAGGAGAGCAUGUGCUACAGGAGGGAGAAUAAAUAUGCAAGUCAACUGGGAAGCAGCUCAGAUAGGCUGGAGCAACGGCCAUGCUUUAGGACCCUGGCUAGGUGUUAGAAUUACCUGGGGGAGAUUUCUAAACACACCCACAACCUCCAGGUCCCAGGCCAAUGAAAUCAGACUCUCUGGGAGCAUGGUCUGGCGUGGGUAGGUUUCAAAGCUCCCAGGUGAUUUGAAUGUGCAGCCAGGACUGAGAAGCCCUGGGUUGGAGCUGAACAGGAGGCACACAGCAUGACAUGAGGCCUGUCGGAGAGGAUGAGGCAGAAAUGAAAGCCAGGCCAAGAAGCUGGACAUUCUCCUGCAGGCCACCAGGAGCCCAGUGGGAUUCUUGUAACUGAGGAGAAUAUGAUUAGGAAAUCCUUUGAUUAGCAAAGUUGCUAAAAGAACUGAGGCUGGGAGACUGCAACAGCCCCAACCUAGCACCCCAGAUGAGGAUCUGAACUGAGGUGGAGUCACAAAGACAAAGGAAGAGCUCGUCACACAGGAUUAGAUUUAGGAAGUGAGGACGAGGUUCUAUAACUCCCUCAGAGUCGGGGACAGUGUCUAUACAGGGUGGAACACCGAGGGCAGGAUCCAGCCCCAGCAGCCCUGGGGGCCUCUCUCCAGGGAAAGCCUCAUAUGCACCAACAUGGCUCCUCCCCAGCCCCACCCAGGUGAAAGGACACCCUCCCCUGGAGAAGGGUUUAAGGAGAAGUCUAACCCAGGCUUACCUUCAGGAAUCCUCUGAUGGGCCCACGUUGGGAUUUUGCAGGAAAGUUCUGAUCCACCACACCUACACCCAAGCCCCACCUCCCAUCCAGAGGCAGGCGGGCAGCCUGAACCCUCCCUCCGACAGGGAG